rnacentral:rRNA from 1 species
GAUGAACGCUGGCGGCGUGCCUAAUACAUGCAAGUCGAGCGAACAGACGAGGAGCUUGCUCCUCUGACGUUAGCGGCGGACGGGUGAGUAACACGUGGAUAACCUACCUAUAAGACUGGGAUAACUUCGGGAAACCGGAGCUAAUACCGGAUAAUAUAUUGAACCGCAUGGUUCAAUAGUGAAAGACGGCUUUGCUGUCACUUAUAGAUGGAUCCGCGCUGCAUUAGCUAGUUGGUAAGGUAACGGCUUACCAAGGCAACGAUGCGUAGCCGACCGGAGAGGGUGAUCGGUGACACGGGAACUUAGACGCGGACCAUACUCCUACGGUAGGGAGCAGUAUGGAAUGUGCCGCAAUGGGCGAGAGCCUUACGGAGCAACGCCGCGUGAGAUGUGAAGGUCUUCGGAUCGUAAUACUCUGUUUUGAGGGAAGAACAAAUGUGUAAGUAACUAUGCACGUCUUGACGGUACCUAGUCAGAAAGCCACGGCUAACUACGUG